UACAGAGGUGGCAAGCGUUGUUCGGAAUUACUGGGCGUAAAGGGCGCGUAGGCGGCCAUCUAAGUCAGACGUGAAAUCCCCCGGCUUAACCUGGGAACUGCGUCUGAUACUGGAAGGCUUGAGUAUGGGAGAGGGAUGUAGAAUUCCAGGUGUAGCGGUGAAAUGCGUAGAUAUCUGAAGGAACAUCAGUGGCGAAAGCGACUUCCUGGACCAAUACUGACGCUCAUGUGCGAAAGCGUGGGGAGCAAACAGG
rnacentral:rRNA from 1 species